CCGAUCCAUAUUUUUAUACAAAAUUUUCUUGUUUCCCCCUCCUGAUUUUCCUUCAUUCCAAACACCAUUGCAAUUCUUACUACAUUUCCCUCUUGGAUUUAUUACGAUUUGAUAGGUGACGGGUUUCCAAAAAAAAAGUUUUAAUAAUGGAAUUAAAAAUAAAAAGGGGUUGAUUUUUCUUCCCCGGAGGCAAGCUUUCCCGGGAAAAUUUGCCUCUUUUUUUCCAGCUCUCUCUCUCUCUCUCUCAGCUUCCACGGAAACUUUCUUUUUGAUUGAUUGAACCAAGAGUACUUUAUGUAGUCGUGGGUGGAUUUACAAAGUAAUGGAAGGAAAAUUUCAUUGGGGAAUCUAAGAUUCAUGAGAGAGAGGACUUUAAUUUAUUCUCAUUGUU